CAGAGGGGGCAAGCGUUGUUCGGAAUUACUGGGCGUAAAGGGCGCGUAGGCGGCCUUCUAAGUCGAACGUGAAAUCCCUGGGCUCAACCCAGGAACUGCGUCCGAUACUGAAAGGCUUGAAUCCGGGAGAGGGAUGCGGAAUUCCAGGUGUAGCGGUGAAAUGCGUAGAUAUCUGGAGGAACACCGGUGGCGAAGGCGGCAUCCUGGACCGGUAUUGACGCUGAGGCGCGAAAGCCAGGGGAGCAAACGGGAUUAGAUACCCCGGUAGUCCUGGCCCUAAACGAUGAUGACUUGGUGUGUCGGGUUUUCAGUCCCGAUGUGCCGGAGCUAACGCGUUAAGUCAUCCGCCUGGGGAGUACGGUCGCAAGACUG
rnacentral:rRNA from 1 species